rnacentral:rRNA from 1 species
GACAGAGGUCCCGAGCGUUAGGCGGAAUCACUGGGCUUAAAGCGUGUGUAGGCGGAGUGCUAAGUACCUUGUGAAAUCCCACGGCUCAACCGUGGAACUGCUUGGUAUACUGGUUCUCUUGAGUCACCUAGGGGCAACCGGAACAAACGGUGGAGCGGUGAAAUGCGUAGAUAUCGUUUGGAACGCCAAUGGUGAAAACAGGUUGCUGGGGGUGUGCUGACGCUGAGACACGAAAGCCAGGGGAGCAAACGGG